AUUGAAGCAUCAUCUGAUAUGGGGCUGCUGAAUUACAAAGUCACUCAACCAAAGGAAGUUGAAAAGGAGACUCUCAGCCCUUUGAAAGAUGUCACAAAUGAUUUGAAAAAGGAAUCAAGCAUCAAUAAAGAACAAGAUCCUGGUGAAACUCUGGCAGCUAGUGGACAAUCUCUUGAAAAUGCAUAGACAAAACCUCAGACCGUUCAAGUGAUGCCACCUUCAACACCCAUUGCGUCAGUGGUAGGGCAAACUUUAAUAGAGAUUGACCAGAAAUCCGUCAAGGAAACUGCAAAAGAAUUACCUGCUGUUAGUGCUCUCUCUGCAAUUACAGAGGUUAUACCAUCCCCAGCUCACCAUCUCUAGCUGAAUCGCAGAAAGUUGCGGACUCUGCAACCAAAUUGAGGCAACGUAUAAAAAAUAUCCAACAAGUGGUUAAUGUUGGAAAGGAAUUGAGAGAUGCUGUCAAAAAGACCUCUGAAGAUGACAUAAUAGUUGUCAUUGAACGAGGGAUGGCAGAAGCAGCAGCCGCCGAAACAACACCAACGAUUGAUGUUGAACUCAGACACUAGCCGAAGAGCCACAGGUUGCUCAAGUCCAUCGACCUCGUGAAUGGGAUAUUGUAAAGAGCAUGGUCUAUGGUGGCUUGAUAGAAUCAAUAACAAGUCUAGGUGUUGUGUCAUCUGCAGUGGGAGCUGGUGCUGCCACACCUUAGAGAGUUGAAGAA